ACCCCCGUGAGAAUGCCCUACCUACACCAACCAGUGGAGAAGAGGAGCUGGUAUCAGGCACAAACAUCUUAGCCCACGACGCCUUGCUCAGCCACACCCCCACGGGUACUCAGCAGUAAUAAACAUUAAGCCAUGAGUGAAAACUCGACUUAGUUAACAUCAAGAGGGCCGGUUAAACUCGUGCCAGCCACCGCGGUUAUACGAGAGGCCCGAGUUGACAAAACCGGCGUAAAGAGUGGUUAAUAGUUUGUAAACUAAAGCCGAACACCUUCAAGACCGUUAUACGCAUCCGAAGGCAGGAAGACCUCCAACGAAAGUGGCUUUAACCUCAUAUGAACCCACGAAAGCUAAGGCACAAACUGGGAUUAGAUACCCCACUAUGCUUAGCCAUAAACAAAAAUACCCCCACACACCAGCUAUUCGCCAGGGAACAACGAGCCCCAGCUUAAAACCCAAAGGACUUGGCGGUGCUUUAGACCCCCCUAGAGGAGCCUGUUCUAGAACCGAUACUCCCCGUUCAACCUCACCCUCCCUUGUUUUCCCCGCCUAUAUACCGCCGUCGUCAGCUUACCCUGUGAAGGACUUAUAGUAAGCAAAACCGGUACAACCUAAAACGUCAGGUCGAGGUGUAGCGAAUGAGAGGGGAAGAAAUGGGCUACAUUUACUGAAACAGUAAACACGGACAUUGCGCUGAAACAAGCAUCUGAAGGAGGAUUUAGCAGUAAGAGGAGAACAGAGCGCCCCUCUGAAAACGGCCCUGAAGCGCGCACACACCGCCCGUCACUCUCCCCAAUAAACACAACUGAUAAAUAAUACAACCUAAAAACAUAAGGGGAGGCAAGUCGUAACAUGGUAAGUGUACCGGAAGGUGCACUUGGAAAAACC
rnacentral:ncRNA from 1 species